rnacentral:rRNA from 1 species
CAGUAGGGAGGAAGGUAGUGUAGUUAACACCUGCAUAUUUGACGUUACCUACAGAAGAAGCACCGGCUAACUCCGUGCCAGCAGCCGCGGUAAUACGGAGGGUGCGAGCGUUAAUCGGAAUUACUGGGCGUAAAGACGCAUGCAGGCGGCCUGUUAAGUCAGAUGUGAAAGACCCGGGGCGUUAACCUCGGAAUUGCAUUUGUAAACUAGGCAGGCUAGAGUCUUGUAGAGGGGGGUAGGAAUUUCAGGUGUAGCGGUGAAAUGCGUAGAGAUCUGAAGGAAUACCAGUGGCGAAGGCGGCCCCCUGGACAAAGACUGACGCUCAGAUGCGAAAGCGUGGGGAGCAAACAGGAUUAGAUACCCUGGUAG